GUGGAAAAGAGGAGUCCUCUCUGGUACUCAGAAGCUCACAUUAUAAAUAUAAUUAGGUGGCAUGCGUCUUUAAUAACACUAGGGUCUGGCCUGGGGGGAAACAAACAGGUGAACUCCUGGAUGAACUAGAUAGCUGCUCAACGGGUGGAACUGGAGAUCAGGAUAGUUGAUAAACUUUGCUUAGCGGUUUUCCCUGCCUUCACUCACUGGGUUCCGCGCUCGGCCUAACCCUUUAGGCUGGCGUACUCCGGGAAAGACGCUAGACGGCGCUGCUGGGACGCACUUUCUCCCGGGAAAGUUCUCUAUCUCAUUCUGGACCGCGAUCGCCCCGACAUGGAACGGCACGCUUGAGCCCCGCUGGACGCCCCGGCUGUUUUGCAAGACUCAGACAGAGUCAAGAGAACAUCAUACAGAUAUUUAAAAAAAAAUUAACAUGAAUCAGAAUCCUGACAUGCCUGGUACUUUAAAGGAGGAAGAA
rnacentral:lncRNA from 1 species